GCCCGUGAACGACGCUCAUGCUCGAAGGCGCGGGUAUCAAACAGGAUUAGAUACCCUGGUAGUCCGCGCGGUAAACGAUGGACACUCGGGAUUUGCCCCCUGCGGGUGAGUCCCCCAGCGAAAGCGUUAAGUGUCCCACCUGGGGAGUACGCCGGCAACGGUGAAACUCAAAGGAAUUGACGGGGGCCCGCACAAGCGGAGGAACAUGUGGUUUAAUUCGAUGAUACGCGAGGAACCUUACCCGGGCUUGAAAUGUGCAUGACGGGAGGCAGAGACGCCUCCUUCCUUCGGGCAUGCAUGUAGGUGCUGCAUGGUUGUCGUCAGCUCGUGCCGUGAGGUGUCGGCUCAAGUGCCAUAACGAGCGCAACCCCUUCCGCCGGUUACCAUCGGGUGAUGCCGGGGACUCCGGCGGCACUGCCGCCGCAAGGCGUGAGGAAGGCGGGGAUGACGUCAAAUCAGCACGGCCCUUACGUCCGGGGCCACACACGUGUUACAAUGGGGGGCACAGCGAGCUGGAGCAGGGCGACCUGCUUCGAAUCAUGAAAUCCCCUCCCAGUUCGGACCGGAGUCUGCAACCCGACUCCGCGAAGCCGGAUUCGC
rnacentral:rRNA from 1 species